ensembl:lncRNA
UGGACUGACACUAAUACAGGAAGUAAUGGGAUCCCUUUUCUCGGUUCUACUUCAAUUGCGAUGCAGUGACUUAGCCUUAUUAGCGUGCCUGAUUUUGAUAAAUCUAGACUUAACGAAUUCUUAAACUGCUUAAUGACUGAGAAAGGAAGUGCCUCAAUUCAAUUAGGUUGAAGGACACUCCCUUAACAACUCAUUGUUUUGUGGAUGCCAUCUAGAGAAACUAUUGCUGGACAAUUAACUUUGGGUGCUCCGGGCGAAAUAAAGCUUUUUUUGGAGUUUAACAUCAGGUGAAGUAACAGGCUUUGAUGUCCUUAAGACCUGCUUGAAGUACGAGCUGGUUGGUUUCCUCUAGCUUGAUCAAUCAAUACAUUAGAGUAGCAUCUGCAUAACAAUGAAAGUUGAGGUUCUGAUAAGACUCAAAACAAGCAUAUACGGUAAAUAAAAUUGGAACCAUGUGGCUAUUCGUAGUUAUCGAGAGUUCAUUGUUCACCAACAUGAACAGUCUUCAUAACUAUUUGCACUGCUACACUGAAUCAUUUCUCUCCAUGCUUAGUUUUGAUUUUAAAUUGCUUAAUGUAUUUGAUAUGACUUUUUUUAGAUGCGCUAAACUAGCUUUUUGAAAACAGUUUUUGACUAGUUGAAACGGUUACCUAGUGGAGUGCAUUCUGCCAGUAUUGGUCCGAUUAAAAGACAGUUCUGUGAAAACGCUGUAAAAUGUCUUAAUACGAUAAACCAGAACAAGGUCGAGGGUGACUAGAACAAUGAGUAGGCAUCUGGGAUUUGAAAGCGGCCUAUUAAAUGUAAGAGUGAGGCACUGUGGGUGACUACUCCCAGGCGGCAACAACGGUACUCUGGGAGAAGCCGGCUAUCCCAGCGGCAACAACGGCACAGUGGGCGAUGAUUACUACGAAGUUCAAAACGGCACUGUGGGCGAUGACUCUGCAGGCCAAAACGGCACUGAUGGGGGCAACCCCUCGGCAGGCCAAAACAGCACAGCGAGAGACGACUACACUGUUGCCAGCAGCUUCACUCUGGGCAAUGACAGCUACCCCGGCGGAAGCAACGGCACUCUGGGCGAGACCACUUCUACUGACGGUGAUUGUCCACUAAGUGGGUUGAGUUUUGAGAAAAAUCGAAAUAGUUCAUUCUAAAUCUGCUUGUACCUACUUUUAAUCUCUGCUGUUAAAUAAAACUGACACUGUCAGUGAAAUGUUUCCAUGUUUGUGUGCAAAACUGAACACUUGAAUGGGAGCGGGCCUUUUUGUAUCCUAGGCCCAGCAAUUUACCCAGGAGCUGCUCAGGGCUGUCUAAAAUGAUCAAAGAGGCAUCUUGAGCCUAGUCUUAAAUGAUGAGGUGACUUUCUGCCCCCUGGACGCAAAAUACAGGAGUAAUAUGAUUCAUUUUCUCAGUUCCCAUUACAUUGCGCUAACUUAAGACUCAGAGCAGCCUGAACUUCAUUGGUCUAGAAAUAAAAUUCUUAAAUAUCAAUUUUUUUAUUAUGUAGGUGAGAAAAGGCAGUGUUAAGCUUUAUCAGGGACACAUCCACUUUUUUUCUUUUCUUACAGUAAAGCUGGAGACAAGAGCAAUCCAUACCUUAAACAAUCCAUACAUUAAACAAUUGACUUUGACGGUGCUGUGGGCCAAAAAUACUCGUAAAGGUAUUGAACCGCAAUACCAAUUUGUAGUUCAAUAUUCCAUAUUUAAUGCAAAUAUAUUAUACGCAGGUAUUCUAUUUAACAUUUACUAGUACAUUCCGUUAUUUUCAAAACAAAUAUUGACAUCUUUUUUUGGGGGAUCAAGGAGGGACGCUUUAGGUGGGGCUACUCUAUUGGCCCUCUACUGGCCAGCUGCCUGUCUCACUUUUCUCUUUCACGUUUUUUGUUGGUUGAUCAUUAGUAAUGUUGAGCAGGUGCCUUCAAACAACCCCUCAGUGGUACCAUGCAAAAUUAAAAGUAGGAUUAACCAAAUUAGUUACACUGAUUAAUAUCUAUUCUACCAAGGACACAGACGCAGUCAGAAAAGUCAAACUUAUAAUAAAAGUGCAAGUCAUUUUCAUCACUGUCUUUAGUUGAGAACAAAAUGAUCUAGAACAAACAUCCGUUUUGCACCAGAGAUCCAGGUGCUGUGUUACCCACAGGGAGAAAGCAGUCAAAGAUAAAUACAACAGCCAAGGGCAGACAAACCUCUCAUGACUGGGCCGUGUGUUGCAUCCCUUAUUUCAUGAUAACAACCUAAGCAGGUAGAGGAUAACAUACGCAGAGUGCUAAAGAAUGAUCGACUUUGAGUAUACCACCCAGGUUCUGAAUGGCUACAAUAAAUAGAAUUAUACUGUGAUUAACUUCACCUAAGUUUGAUUUAGUAGAUAUAUAAACCAUGCACACAGGUUGAAAUAAUCAGUCUGUGCUGUGUGUGACAUGAGAAACAUCAAGACCGACAAGAUAAUCUGUUUUUUUCAUCUCCAUCAGUACUAUUAGAAGAAAAUAUCUUUAUCUUAUGCUAGAAAGCGAUUUAAAUAGGUAUAUUCUUUUUUAACCGCAGAUGACAUGCAUUUAGCUAGUUGACGUCAAAUGCCCUGACAUAUUUUCAGUCAGUGGUUUUGGCAUUUCACAGGAAAGGGGGAAGGAAAAACCGAUAAUUUGGCGGAAAUCAUUUUUCUUUCUUGCCUUAAGUAGUUUUACAGUGAAUUGACACACCUGAGAGGUUUGUGUAAACUAAUAUGAUGAAGUACUGUAAGUCACCAAUUACAAAAGACAGGUGUUGAUUUUGGUCCAUUACUGCUUCAUAUUUUGCUACAUUGAAUUGAAUCACUCAAUAUAUAUGAGAAUUAAAGGGUAAUCUGGAGAUACGGUAUUGUACUUAUAAGAGUGUAAAAUAGUAAUGUUUGAAAUGCUAAAUCAAAGCAUCAUUGACUCUAAGUCAAUGCUUUCAGAUGUAGUAUAGUUUCAGGCUGGUUUUGUGUAUUUGUAACUAUUCAUGGAUACACUUUGUGUAAAAUUAAUACAAGUUACCUGUAGAGGUUCAAAGAUGUUUCUAAGUAAAAAUCCAUGGAGCUAACAUUAGCAACACGUUAGCACAUCAGUAACUAGCAUUAGCCCUUCUGUACUUUGUUGUUCACUGAAGAUGCUGCUACUGCUAGCCCUAGAAUCUACCCAGCUCAGCAGAUGACGAUUUGUUGGUUCCUUUUUUUCACUGUGAUCUGUAUGCUUUAGCUUGUACCGUAUCAUUUUCUUUGUGAUCCUGGAUAGAUCCUUCACAUGCCUUGUUGUGUGCUUCUCGUACCAUUUUUCCAGUUUUUUCUUUUGGGAGUGCAGUUAGUGACACUGUGGGCUCCAACGUCGAAACAGUGUAGCAAUGGGGGUGGGAAAUACCAAUGGGUCGGUACUUAUCAUGGCCUGAACAGUUAUUAUAAAAAAGUAAAAUAUCAUUGACAUAUAAUUUAUGAAUAAGUAGACAUUGACGUUGCCAGUCCCCUCAUUAGUAAUAACGUGGACCUUGAAUGUGAAUUUGUUAUAUUACAUUACAACAUGUUAUACAAUAGAUUAUAUUUGUUGAUCCUUGGCUUUAUUUGUAUUCUAAGUAACAUCUUGCUCAGUUAAAGAACAUAGAAAACCAAACCAAGUCAUGUUUUUUGGCUGACAGGCAGUUCUAUCUCUGGCCAGUAAAUUAUUCAUAGCUGUGGAGACUCAAUCACAGGGUAUGAAAUCUGGCUUUACUCCACUGCAAAUAUGCAUAACCAGUUUGGAUUCCACAUGUCUCUAUAUACAGUGUAUAUUGGCACAAAGCCAGUUAUCUACAUCUAAAAAAGCAAUUAACCAACUCUAGACCCCCUGGUGGGAUCUGUGUAAAUUUCUCCCAACUCCUGCAUGCAAAAGCUCUCAAACAACAUUUUUUGAGAGGAUAGACGGGUUACAUAAUGCAUCAACGAGGCAAACCUUGCAGCUCGUCUCCUGCUGGUCCAGGUGUUAACUCAAUAACGAUGUAACAGCUUGGUUUCUACUCGUUCCACACAGAAUUGAAUCCAUAGCAUGAUUAAACUGGACUGGACAGUGUUCUGAGAAAACACUGUCUUGACAGUGUUUUGUUGAGAUAUUUGAGCAUAAUAUUGUCAAAUAGCGGUAUAGACAUGUAAAGAAAUUCAAAUAACUAAAGAUUAACUAGAUCAGUAACUUCUAUAAGGAAAUGGAUGUCUUUCUCUCCAUUAUGAAUUAACUUGAAAUAUUAUUUUUUACAACUCUUAAAGCUACACUCAGAUGUGUGCAUAAUGUAAAGCAGUUGUUUAUCUGAAAAAACACCAAAACCUGGGAAGUUUGGGGCUAUGGCAUGUCUGGGUUACUAGAUACAAAAAUUCAAGCGGAAAGAAUAUUUCCGUUUGUUUAUCUGUGUCAAAAUAAGAAAAAUCUUUUUUUUUAGUUUUGCAAAUCAAACCACUGAUACUUCUAUAAUAUUGCCUUUAACUCACACUUACGUCAGCUUUACCCGGCUGUUGAGAACGCAUAAAGUUAAAACAAUUUCUAUGUGAGACACUGAUCUUUCUCCUCAUGCCAAGGGAAGUUCUGGGAGUGACAAUUAAAUGCAGACUUGCAGGUGUUUGAUUGGCAAGCCGUCUAAACCAGCAGCUGGUUUGGUGCUUUUGAAAUUCUCGAUGGUCCACAUGCAUUGAAAUGCGAAUACAGAAGUGCGUUCAAUCUGCAUCUUCUCUUCCAGUUAUGUGUGAUGAGAAGGAGUUUGUUGUACUUGUGUCUUUCUAAAAGCCUCUGCCUUUCCUUUUUUCCUCUUCCAGCACAUCUCAGCCACAUCUAUCAGGGAGACACAGAACAGGCUAUUAGUGGUGUAGUCGUAAAUCCUCAAAACACACACCUACACACACCUACACAUCAACAUCCUGUUCACAAAGCAUGUUCUCAUUGGAUACCACAUGUAAAAAUAGCAAAGAAGGUAGUUAUCAGUUCUUAUGUGCAAGCACAAAGGUUAGCUAUUUUUGGAAUUUUGGAACACGUACAAACACAAACACACAAAGCCUUCAAUUUUCAAUCAUCAUUGCAUGAUUUGAAGAGCUUAGUUAACAAGAUUGCUUGUUAGUAUAACAUUAAAUGUGAACAUUGCCCGUGGUGUCUUUGAUUGUAUUGCCAUCAAGAUGUCACUGUCGCACCAAAACACAGUUUAUAAUCAUAAAUUAUGUUUGACCGCUUCUGUGGAACGAGCUCUUUCUGGGAUGAAGUCUAUGCAGCUGUACAUCAUAUUUGUAACAACUCAGAGGUCCUGACAUGCAUUGGAUUAACAGAAGAAAAUAAUUUUAGUUGUUGGAUCUGAAUGGUGGCCAAUUGAAUAAUUUAUCUAGUUGAUCUCUUUUGGAUUCUACAUAUGUUGUUGUUAUCACACCAACAAUUGCGGUUAAGGCUUUCUCCAUAGUACUGAAAUGGAGACUGGCAGAACUUGAGAAUGGAAACAAAAAUCAAGCAAAAGCAGAAUACAGAGAGAGUGUGACACAGCUAGAGUGCUGGAAGCAAAUGAUUUCACUGGGGAUUUUUCAUUAAGUAAUCAAUUCAUCUUCAACACAAGACGUGUUGCGGAGGCAAUACAAUACCUCCAGCAUGAGUGAGCUUCUCACCCAAUCUCUGAGAGAGAUGCCAGCCACCCUCCUCAGGAAAACCUUUUCGGCGCCCUGUACCCUCCGAUGGUCCCACAAAUCCACAAAAAGCAUGUUUGAAAGAGGAGUUGUUGUCAAAAGUGUUAUUGAAAGGCUAAUAUUCAUACAUUUUUCCACGAUUGACAUGAAUAAACCGUAAGAUUGGAAUGCCCAGUCUAAUUCAAUUAGUCAACUAUUUGGGGUCACUCCAAGAAAGCGUAUCUGUUGUUUUUAUUCUUUUAUGCGUUUAACUCAAAAUGCUGAACUGUAGUUA